GGCAGCAUGGCCGAGUGGUAAGGCGAGGGACUGGAAAUCCUUUUUCCCUAGUUCAAAUCCGUGUGUCGCCU
rnacentral:tRNA from 1 species